rnacentral:lncRNA from 1 species
UUUUUAUGUGAUUGAUUUCGAGAUGGUCAAGGUGGCCGGUGGGGCUGUUCUAGGUCGAGAUCCAUAGGAUCGAGAUCGGUUCUUGGAAUUCUGACUUGACCAUUCUCUUAGUUAAGAUUUAUCAUGAAUUAUCAUGAAUCCUAUUGAGUUUUUAGGGAUUGAUUUAGAGAUGGUCCCUUAGGCCGGUUUGGCUGAUCUUGGCCGAGAUCUAUGGGAUGGAGGCCGGUUCUGGGAAAUCUGAUUGGACCACUCUCUUAGUUAUGAUUUAUCAUGAAUUGUCAUGAAUUUUAAUUGAUUUUUGGAGCAGGUUUGCUUGGGGUCGAAAUUGCACCUGAGGGCAUAUUGGGGUCAGAUCCUUGUGUUAGGAUAUAU